UACGUAGGGUCCGAGCGUUGUCCGGAAUUACUGGGCGUAAAGCGCACGUAGGCGGCUUUGUAAGUUAGAGGUGAAAGCCCGGGGCUCAACCCCGGAAUUGCCUUUAAGACUGCAUCGCUUGAAUCCGGGAGAGGUGAGUGGAAUUCCGAGUGUAGAGGUGAAAUUCGUAGAUAUUCGGAAGAACACCAGUGGCGAAGGCGGCUCACUGGACCGGUAUUGACGCUGAGGUGCGAAAGCGUGGGGAGCAAACAGG
rnacentral:rRNA from 1 species